CAAAUGGCGGCGCCCUAGGACGAGCCCUACUGCUGCGCGUCGGUCGAGCGCCCCAGCCUGCAGAAAGCGAAAUGAACCUGUACCUGUCUGUUGCCGAAGCAUGAUGGGCAACUAUCCUUGAGCAGUUCAAAGGCAAGGCUGUAACCCUCCGUGGUUUGAGAGCUGUGCAACAACACAGCAAUAAGCACGGCACCUGCUUUUGUAGCAGCGCAUGUCAUAUGGUGCUGCAGCAUCAACUUUUGCCAGCAGUUGACCUUCUGCAAGUGUCGACAGAAUGUCUCUUCUGUUUUAUCUAUAUUGCAAUAAAUAGCUUUUAAACAAGAUCUUUAUCUU
rnacentral:lncRNA from 1 species